rnacentral:rRNA from 1 species
CCUACGGGAGACUGCAGUGGGGGAUAUUGCUCAAUGGACGCAACCCUGAUCCAGCGACGCCGCGUGCAGGAAGAAGUAUUUCUGUGUUGUAAGCUGUUUCUGCAGGGAAGUAAAUGACAGUACCUGACCAAGAAUCCCCGGCUCACUACGAUCCAGCAGCCGCGGGAAGGCGGAGGGAGCAGCGGUUAUCCGGAUGUACUGGGUGUAAAGGGGGCGUAGUCGGUUAUAUAAGUUUGUAGUGAAAUCCCGGGGCCCAACCCCGAGACUGCUUUGGAAACUGUGGAACUGGAGAAGAGUAGCGGCAGGCGGAAUGCAUGGUGUAGCGGUGAAAUGCGUAGAGAUCAGACGGAACACCGAGGGCGAAGGCAGCUUGCUGAACUGAAUCUGACGUUGAGGCACGAAAGCGUGGGGAGCAAACAGGAUUAGAUACCCCAGUAGUC